ACAGGAAACACGCCAUCUACACUGUGUUUGUACCAAGAGAGAGUCUGGACUAAGUCUUCGAACCUGAAGUAAGUUAAGCGACGCGACAAACAUAUAAAAAUAAUAUCGUGUGCACACAAUAUUUGAGUCUAACGUUAUGUUGCUUGACGAGCUGUUUUAGCACUUGUCAUAUAGAGCUGGCUUUCCAUGAAAACGUUUAAUGUUUACUUUAAAAAAAAAAAUGUAUUUUUGCUCGUUUUGCUGCAAAGUCUUAUUAACCAUCUGACAGUUACGUGUAUUUAGUUAGAAGCCGUAGGCGCAGUAAUCCUUACACUUUGUAUUGUGUUUUCUGAUAUUACAGUUGCCAUUACAUUAAAAGGAACAUUGUUUUAUAAACCAAAUUGUAAACAUGGAUCCCCGUUUAAAAGCGGCUUUGCUUUUUCAAGACAAAAUUAUACGGCGGUGCACACUACCAUGCCGGGACAAGGUACAUUGUCACCCGGACUUGGCUUCCUCCCUACAACUGUGAGCCACUUCAAUCCCUUCCUGAAGCUUGCAGAGAAUAUCAGUCCAGGGGAGUGGUCUGAAAUGAAUGGCUUUGAGUUGGAGGGGUUUCCAAGCCAAGACUUUGAGGUUGACUGUGGCAUCUACAUGUUGAUGGUAAGAUUCGUCAUUCAGAUAUUUUUGGACUGUCAAGAUGCUUUUGAGAAUAAGUCAUGAACAUUGACAUUUAUUUUUUAAUUGACAGUCUGCUUUAUAUGUGGUGCUGGAUGCUCCCUUUUAUUACACCAUAGUAAGUAGCUCUUUUUAGAGAGCAAUAAAGUAUGUGUGCAAAGAAGUCACUAAAUGACACUAAAUUGAUUUU